UAGGGAAUCUUCCACAAUGGACGCAAGUCUGAUGGAGCAACGCCGCGUGAGUGAAGAAGGUUUUCGGACCGUAAAGCUCUGUUGUUGGUGAAGAAGGAUAGAGGUAGUAACUGGCCUUUAUUUGACGGUAAUCAACCAGAAAGUCACGGCUAACUACGUGCCAGCAGCCGCGGUAAUCGUAGGUGGCAAGCGUUGUCCGGAUUUAUUGGGCGUAAAGCGAGCGCAGGCGGAAGAAUAAGUCUGAUGUGGAAGCCCUCGGCUUAACCGAGGAAUUGCAUCGGAAACUGUUUUCUUGAGUGCAGAAGAGGAGAGUAGAACUCCAUGUGUAGCGGUGGAAUGCGUAGAUAUAUGGAAGAAUACCAGUGGCGAAGGCGGCUCUCUGGUCUGCAACUGACGCUGAGGCUCGAAAGCAUGGUAGCGAACAGGAUUAGAUACCCUGGUAGUCCAUGCCGUAAACGAUGAGUGCUAAGUGUUGGGAGGCUUCCGCCUCUCAGUGCUGCAGCUAACGCAUUAAGCACUCCGCCUGGGGGAGUACGACCGCAAGGUUGAAAC
rnacentral:rRNA from 1 species